rnacentral:lncRNA from 1 species
CAUUCGGCUCUCUUAAUCCAAUAAGACUGACGCCCCGAGAGCAAUGCUCGACCAGGGACCUUACCUCCAGUCUGGUCACUUAAAUAUCCAAAUAAGAAAUCUAGUAGCCAUUCGGCUCUCUUAAUCCAAUAAGACUGGCGCCCCGAGAGCAAUGCUCGACCAGGGACCUUACCUCCAGUCUGGUCACUUAAGUAUCCAAAUAAGCCGGCGCCCCGAGAGCAAUGCUCGACCAGGGACCUU